AACGAACGCUGGCGGCAGGCUUAACACAUGCAAGUCGAACGCCCCGCAAGGGGAGUGGCCGACGGGUGAGUAACGCGUGGGAAUCUACCCAUCCCUACGGAAUAACGCAUGGAAACGUGUGCUAAUACCGUAUACGCCCUACGGGGGAAAGAUUUAUCGGGGAUGGAUGAGCCCGCGUUGGAUUAGCUAGUUGGUGGGGUAAAGGCCUACCAAGGCGACGAUCCAUAGCUGGUCUGAGAGGAUGAUCAGCCACAUUGGGACUGAGACACGGCCCAAACUCCUACGGGAGGCAGCAGUGGGGAAUAUUGGACAAUGGGCGCAAGCCUGAUCCAGCCAUGCCGCGUGAGUGAUGAAGGCCUUAAGGUGGUAAAGCUCUUUCACCGGAGAAGAUAAUGACGGUAUCCGGAGAAGAAGCCCGGGCUAACUUCGUG
rnacentral:rRNA from 1 species